UACAAGGCAGGCCGUGUUGGUGCCCCGCUUCGGCGGGGUGAAACGGGAAUGCGGUGAGCGUGGCACCCCUAGGGUGCCAUCGCGAAGCCGCAGCUGCCCCCGCAACUGUAAGCGGCAGGCAAAGGGCAUCGAGCCACUGGUCCGGAUGGACUGGGAAGGCGCCCGGCGCACGCAACCGCGAGCCAGGAGACCGGCCAGCACGACAUUGCCAAUC
rnacentral:ncRNA from 1 species